rnacentral:rRNA from 1 species
GAUGAACGCUGGCGGCGUGCCUAAUACAUGCAAGUCGAGCGAACAGACGAGGAGCUUGCUCCUCUGACGUGGCGGAGGACGGGUGAGUACCAAGUGGAUAACCUACCUAUAAGACUGGGAUAACUUCGGGAAACCGGAGCUAAUACCGGGUAAUAUAUUAAACCGCAUGGUUCAAUAGUAAAAGACGCUUUUGCUGUAACUUAUAGAUGGAUCCGCGCCGCAUUAGCUAGUUGGUAAGGUAACGGCUUACCAAGGCGACGAUGCGUAGCCGACCUGAGAGGAUGAUCGGCCACACUGGAACUGAGACACGGUCCAGACUCCUACGGGAGGCAGCAGUAGGGAAUAUUCGGCAAUGGGCGAAAGCCUGACGGAGCAACGCCGCGUGAGUGAUGAAGGUCUUCGGAUCGUAAAACUCUGUUAUUAGGGAAGAACAAAUGUGUAAGUAACUAUGCACGUCUUGACGGUACCUAAUCAGAAAGCCACGGCUAACUACGUG